AAGUCGUAACAAGGUUUGGAUCAGCAAAGUCAAUGAUCUUUCUUCGUCUAUCAACUUAGGCGUACGUUUAAUUAUUUGAACGUUAAAAAUACAACUCUUAGCAAUGGAUAUCUAGGUUCUC
rnacentral:misc_RNA from 1 species